GAUAAGCCUUAACGAAUUAUAACCCACAUGUUGUUUGUGUCAAACAAGGAAGUGUGUGGGGGAGUCGAUGGUGUUUUCAAAUGGUAUGCUGCUGCCUUGGGUUUGAAUCCUGGGUGAAGUGUGCCUGUCCACAUCAUUGUAAUUCGGUGGGAUUUCAUGUCAGAUUAUUAACAAGGCAUCCUGAGGCAAGCACUGAGCAGGGAUCAGUCCAAACACUAUUGAAUAAUUUCAGUUUUAUAAACUUACAUUAUAAAACUGACCGGAGAACAGUUCAAAUUAUUUAUUAAACACUGGUUCAUUGGUUCACCUGGAGAUCAACACAAAGAAGAAGAAGCUGAAAAUGAAGCAAGCAAAUAGCAAGUUGAAGCUGCUGGUGUCUUUGAUGUCUGAACGGCGAGAGCUUAAAAACGCCUACAAGAAUGUUGAUAAGAGGGAGUUGUUGUGGCAAGGAAUUUCCAAAGAAAUAGGAUUCGAUGCUAACCCAAAACCAGGAGAAAAACGAACCAACAUAAAUGGCUCCGACUUCCUACUAACCACUAUUACCAGUGCACUAUUUGCAAAGGUGAAUAUUAAUGUGUGUUAGAUAACAAAGAGCAUAAAUAAAGUCACAAACAGGCAGAAGGUCAUACACAGGUUAAAUCAACAUACGUAAAGAACUCCUUAAACACAAAGCAAUGGCAAUGAUCUGCCAGGGGAUGGAGACUGACGCGCCUUAAGUACACCUCCGGAAACGUGCAGCCAACCAAUCCUAUUGCACAAGGCCGGAGCAGGCGUGGACAAGAUGUGAUCAUCCAGUGGCAAGCCAGAACGUGACACAUACAGUAGGUGGGGCCUAGAGAAGAGGGAGGAGACAAAAAGCAACCAUCCCACCACUGCCAUAGACACACGAAUGGCAUUUCGAGCAAACAUAAAUACACUGAAGAACGUAACAAGAAUGCAAGAAGAAUGGAAUGCAACAUGUUUUACAUGUAAAAUAAAACACGUUAUUUCAACCUAGUUCUCUUGUUCAAAGUAGUUAUAGUGUUCAGAAACAUUUGUGAUAUUUCAUGUUCCAUACCUGUCCAUUAUAUAGUUUUAUAAAAGUCAUAAAAGUUAUAAAACAAUCAUAAAAGUUUUUUUCACAAAAACACAAAAGCAAAAAAAAUCUAUCAAAACAGAUUAUACAAAUAUAUGUGGAUUACCUUAACUUGUACACACAGGAAUAAUAAAAAUACAUACAUAUGUAAUACAUAUGUAAUUAUUUUGAAAAAUCAACCAAAGGACAGACAAAGAAUUUCUUGAUUUAUUUCAACAUUUAUUUCAA